CCUACGGGUGGCAGCAGUGAGGAAUAUUGGUCAAUGGGCGCAAGCCUGAACCAGCCAAGUCGCGUGAAGGAUGACUGCCCUACGGGUUGUAAACUUCUUUUAUAAAGGAGUAAAGUGAGGCAAGUGUGCCUGUUUGUAAGUACUUUAUGAAUAAGGAUCGGCUAACUCCGUGCCAGCAGCCGCGGUAAUACGGAGGAUCCGAGCGUUAUCCGGAUUUAUUGGGUUAAAAGGGAGCGUAGAUGGGUUGUUAAGUCAGUGGUGAAAGUUUGCGGAUCAACCGUAAAAUGGCAAUGGAUAAUGGCAGUCUUGAUUACAGUGCAGGUAGGCGGAAUUCGUGGGGUAGCGGUGAA
rnacentral:rRNA from 1 species